rnacentral:lncRNA from 1 species
GUGAGCAGUUGGGUUUUAAAAACAUAUCAGACCCUUUCCUACACAAUAACCAAACCCUCAAAGAUCUCUUUGAAGUCAUAAUCAGAUGGCAGUGACACCAUUAUGAGGGGUCCCACCAUUUUUAGCAUGUAUCCUCAUCCAUUUUUGGAGAUAUCUAGGGACUUGCCUACAAGGUCAAGAACAUGUGUGUUUGGACAUAGUCUAAAGGGCAAAUGCCUUUCAGAAUGCCGGGAUUACGAGGCUUGUGCCACCGCGACACGUAGCUCACAAAGUCCUUUCUUAUCCUGACUUCCUCAUGGUCAACUCCAUUUUGCCAGAAGGAAAAUUAAUACUUGAAGGAAUUGGGUAAUGUGUCCAAAGACAUAAUCACCAAGUGACACAGUCUGGGUUUUCCUGAUUCAACAUCCUAAUCAAGAGAUUUUUGAACAUCUUUGCUUUAAAGAAAUGAAAGAAGCAACUACUUAAAACAGAGUUGAAGUGGCUACAAACAGCCUCACACUUGGUCUCUUAAGGAGGAAUUUGCAUCCAGAGAUGGAGAAACAACAAAAGGAAACAGACAAAACUGCCAAUCUACAGAACAAGGUUCUAAGACAGGAAGUUGAGGCACUCAGCACCAAUCAGGGGAGAGAGGUUUUCCGCCUACUUGUGCCCUCACUGCUGAGGUCUUAGUGGAAAGCGCUACAGGAACAGAAACACCUGAACUUCAGAUUUCCAGAGCAGCCAGAUAUGGUGUUUCAUUAAGGCCUCCGAGGGCACUGCACCACCGCUGGAGUUUCUGCUCAGCUUGAUACACUGAACUGCCAGCCUCUUUGUGUGCAUAGGGAAAUGGGGGACCUUUUAGAAGGGGCAGGGGCAGGUCCUACAGGAAAGGAAGACCUUCAUGGAGGAGAGUGGCCAGCUAGGGUCCUCUGGGAGGACAGCAUGUAGUUGAGCCAGGCCAGCAAA